AACAGAACCCACAACAACCAUGACUUUUAUCACCAUCUUCAUCUGGAUAUUUGCCCUCUGUCUCCAAGAAUCCAGAGGCCAGGUCACUGUAACUCAGACCCCUGCAGUGAAAGCUGUUCUACCAGGACAGACAGUCUCUCUGAACUGUAA